rnacentral:rRNA from 1 species
CGGAUUGCAGGCUGCAACCCGCCUGUAUGAAGUUGGAAUCGCUAGUAAUCGCGGAUCAGCAUGCCGCGGUGAAUACGUUCCCGGGCCUUGUACACACCGCCCGUCACACCAUGAGAGUCGGGAACACCCGAAGUCCGUAGCCUAACCGCAAGGGGGGCGCGGCCGAAGGUGGGUUCGAUAAUUGGGGUGAAGUCGUAACAAGGUAGC